GAAUUCUGCCAACAGCCUGAACGAACUUGGAAGAGGAGCGGAGCUCCAGAUGAGAACUCCAGCUCAGUCAACAUCUUGAUUUCAGUCUUGAGAGACCCUGAGCAGAGGAUCUAGCUAAACUGUGCCCUGACUCCUGACCUGCAGAGACUGGGUGAUAAUAAAUUGUGGUGUCUGAGGCUCUGAGUUUGUGGUAAUAUCUUUGCAUAGAAAUAGAAAACUAAUACAGCAGGACUCCAGAGAGUCUUAACUUUUGUGUGUCAUGGACCCCAUGGGAAGUCUGGUGAAGCCUAUAAACUUCUGCUCAGAAUUAAUUUUUAAAUACUUACAAUAAAAUACAUACAGUUACAAAAGAAACCGCAUUUAUUGAAACUGAGUAGUAAAAAUAUUAAAAAUGUAUCUGGGUCAGAGGAACAUAUGCACUUAUUUGUUAACGCAUUAAAUAAUAAGACCUAGCAGUGAUCUGAGAACUACCGUAACAUUGAAGAAAUAAUGAGUGCAAACCCUAUUUUGAGACAUCUGUAGCAACAGGGAAGCAAUAUAUAAUUACCUGUAAUAUGUAUGGGUUUCAAGACUGCUUCUGCUCUUAUGGUUGGUUGCCUUCAUUCAUAGCCAAAGGAAAUGCUAAAUUUCGGAUAGAGGUUAGUGAACAUAAAUAGAUAUUUUUUUCCAUCCCAGUACAGGGACCCCUACCUUCUAUCUAGGUUAAGAACCCCAGGCUGAGAAAGUUCUUGGAAGGCUUCCCAACCUCCAUAUUUUCUGAGCUGGUUUCACCUUUCUGAGCGCUUCCCAGCCAGUUCUCUCAAGGAGAAGCACUGACAUUGGACCCUUGUUCACACCCUCAGGAGGGCCAGCCCUCUUGUUUAUCCCCAGCUUAUUUUUCUUUAAUUAUGAGGAUUACUUGAUCUGCAUGUGUGAUUCAUGUCUUUCUGAUUAUGCAGAAUUAACUGUAAUAGAACACAGCUGCACCAAGAUCAACUCUGGGUGUAUCUGUCUGGGUUUCCAAAUGUCUGUGUUGUAAAUGCCUUCCUGGGGGAGGCUGAAGCUCAUAACUCGAGUGGCAAAGCCAGAGUUCCAGGCCGUGACCCUCCUUUAGUCUACACUGCCCAUCCCUGCUCCCUUCCCUUCUCUGCCCUCCCAGGGUGGGCCACAGGUGUGUGCUUGUGGAACCUGCUUUCUACCCUCUGCUCUCUGCGCUGUCACAGUUAGAAAUGGAUGUUCUCUCUCUUGGCUGUGCUGUAAAUCAAUGUAAUGUGUGUUUCCCAAUCGUUUCUUUACUUCUUUCUUUACUCUUUACUUUUUCAAAAAAUUGCAAGCAUGUGGCUUUAAAAUUGAAAGAAUGCUUAAGAGCUUAUGAUACAUUUCUUCCCUCUCUUGUCCCAACUCCUGUUUCUAUUUUCUGUCCCCCUGUUGGUUACUUCUUUAACUUUACAUAACAUAUCUAUUAUUUCUUGACUUAUUAACUUUACAUGAAGUCUGUUGACUCGCUGUUAUGAAAGAUGGGGGUUUAACUCACUUUACUCCCAUUUCCCAUCUAUGGUAGUUUUAUUGUCUUAGCUCUAUUGCUUGCCUUUAUCAUACCUUUAUUGAUGUCAGCUUUAGCACAAUAUCUGCCCACUCUUCCUUCUGCUUUUCUGUUUCAUUUUCUUUCACAUGUAUAUUUGCUUUCAUAUUGUCAAGCUUAGCAUUAUUUACUUUCUCUUCUUGAACCGAAAUUACAUCUUCAAUACGUUCUCUAUAGAUUAAUUUUAAAAGUGAGAAAUUAGCAAAUACCUUUUGUCUAACUUUGACUGUCGAAAUAUGAUUCUAUGCAGGGCCAGGUGGUGGCUAGGACCACAGGUCUAAUGUGAUGACCUCCUGGACCACUUGAGGAAGAAAGUACCAAUCGGCAAGUUCAUCCAAUUCUCGUAUUAUGUGUGGCUUCCAGCUCUGCUAGCAAUGGUUGGGGGUGAAGCAAAAAUGUACACACCUGGUGGAUAUGACCUUUAGGGCAUUAUGACUCAAGAGGAAACCUGGGAAGAUACAGAUGUGUGUGUCUGAGAAUGGAAAGAAAUGUGAACAGCAUUAGCAUAUGAGAGAUAAAUGGAGAACAAAGAGAAAAUAGAGAAAACAAAAGGAGAAUCUGUCUAGAGUGGCUUCCAUUAAGAAAAGUUUUAUAAAAGCAUCAGAUAUGAACAGCAAUGGAGGUCUAGAGAUUGGCGUAAGGCCAAUGACAUUGGUCUGGAUGGUAUGCCUAAAUUUAGGAUGACUUUUGUGACAGAACGGAUUGAGGUGAGCCACUGCUUGAAGUAUGGGUGAAUGUAAGAAAAUUUGACCCACUAUUACAGCCAGCCAUUGAUACAUCUGCAUUCAUCCACAAAGGAAUUUUCUUUCUCAAUGACCAAAGAAAGUAUGCACAAUCAUUCUUGUCAUGGACAGGAAAUAGAGAAGUCCUUGGAGGAGACUGUCUGAUGCUUUAGUUCUCAUACUAAGAUCGCUUUCUAUUAUAUAAAUUAUUUUGCAGUUGGAUGUAGAAAUACUAUCUUAGGGAAGUCACAAAGUGGUCAGAUUUCUACAUGAAAAAAAGAAAGGAAAAAGUCCAAAAGGAAAAAUCAUUGAACAAUGAUACUUCCUCACUGUUCCGUGGGUAGAACUGAUAAAAAAUCGCCCACUGUGAAAAAUCCCUUGUAUGGCCUUCUCCUCUGGCAGUCUUGCUGAUCAAUUCUUUUUAUUGAUACAUUCACUGCCAGUUAACUGUGAGGAAAAAAAGCAAACCAAUGUGUAGUUUGUUUUACCUUUGGUUCUGACUUGUGAGAGGUUAAAAAUACUCAAAAUGAGCUGGUCCCCCUUUAAGGCAGUUCUCUACCCUGACAGUCCAUUAGAAUCACCCAAAGAACUUUUAAAAAUCCCUGUGCCCAGGUCCAUCCCAUUCUCAGGGUAGGAUCCAGGCACCAAUGUUUGAAAAUCUGCCUAUGUGGUUCCAGUGAGUAAACAAGGCUGAACACCACUGCUUUAAAUGAUAAGCUAGUAAACCAAAAGAUCAGAGCGAGGAAAUGAGAUACAACUAGAAGUAGCAACACCAGUAAUAAAGAAUGGAGCUGACUGAAAAUCAUGGUCAUCUUAAGAGGUGGAGUGCAUUUCCCACUCCUUGAAUCUGGACUGGCGUUGUGAUUUAUUUUGGUCAAUAGAAUAUGGUAGAAGUGACAUGAGGUGAGCCUCCGUGCAGCUUCUGCCUUCAUUCUUUGGCAUAUUGCUCUUGCCAUGUAAGGAAGCCUGGGAUAGACUACUGAACCAUGAGAGACUACAUGGAGAGAUGCCCAGUCAAUAGGCAGCAUCAACCUCUAGACUCGUGAGUGGGGUCAUCUUGGAUCAUCCAACUCCAGUAGCCCAUCUAACACUUCAUGGAGCAGAAGUGAACCAUCCCUUCUGAGCCUGGUCAAAUUUUCUACCUAUAGAAAUAUGACAAGAAAUAAAUGGUUGUUGUUUGAAGUCAUUACAUUUUGGAAUAGUUUCUUAUGCAGCAAUCAAUGUAAAGAUAUAGGAAAGAAAAAUUUGAAGCUAAACUGUCAGAUGAGUCUGUGGCAGCCAGCCUCCAAGUUAGUCCUCAAUGAUGCCCACCUCCUGGCAUUCAGGCUCCUAUGUUGUCCCUUCCAACAUUUUACCAGGGCUGGUCUGUGUCCCACAGAAUAUUGCAAAGUAUGGUAUGUGACUUCUGAGGCUAGAUCAAGAAGUUUAUUGUGGCUUCAGCCAGCUGCCUUUCUCCCUCUUGCAUAAAGAUUCCAGAUACAACACCAUGAGGAUGCUCAAGCAGCCUAUGGGAAAUUCUGUGCAGUGAGAACCUGAGUUAUCUUGCCAAUAGCCGUGUAUGUGAGCCAUCAUGGAAGCAGAUCCUCCAACCUCAGUCAAGCUUUUGGAUGAACACAGCCUCUACUAAGUUUCUGACUGCAAAUUUUUGAGAGACCCAUACAAGAACCACCAGCUAAGCUGCUCCCAAAUUUCUGACCUGAAGAAACUAUAAAAAACUAAAUGGUUUUUAUUUUAAGUCACUAAGUCUUGCGGUCAUUUGUUAUGCAGCAAUAAAUAACUAGUAUAAGGUCCUUUAGUUUUGGAUGGAUUCUACCAGAGAGAAUAGGCCUAAUGUGUCAAGUUAAAGCACUUGAGGGGAAGAAGGGUAAUUCAGCAUCUACAAUUAAAGGUCGGGAUAUGGGGUCAAUGGCAUGGUAGUGAACUGGAUAAGCAGUGCUUUGCAGCCCAGUUUCCAGGGGAACUGGAAAAUGGUGUAUUUAUUAGGAGCGCCAGGUGGUUAUCCCAGGAAAUGACAAUCCCGCGGAGGAACAGAAUUCAGUCCUGUCGGAGGUGAAAAUCUGCCACUGGAAGGGUAUUUAGGAGCUUCAGUUAUAUAGAUUGGAAAACUGCAGGUUGAUGGGCUGACCAUUAUACACACCUCCAGGGAACUACAGAAGCCACUUAUAGCUGAGAAAAAGAAGGACAUAGAAAUUCGUGUUAAGAGGUGAUAAAAAGAAAUGUACUAUUUUUGGACCAAAUACAGCUAAGGCCCAAAGUGAAAAAGGAAAGGGAGUUGGAAAAUGAGGAGAAGGAUUAUGCAACAGAAACCAGGAAGGAGAAAAAAAAAUUUAAACAAAAUUUAAAAUGGAACAAAAUCUAAAAACAAUUAGCAUUUUUUUAAAAAAGUAAAUAAGUUAGGAAAGUUUUUAUCUUUCUCUCUUAACUGCUAUAAUGAUCACCAAGCAUGUCACAAUCUGCAAUAACAGCAGGAAAAUUAGGAGUAAAAUGUGCAUGUAAGAUGAAACUGAAUCAUUUCAAAGAAGGAUGCUAAUAUGUAAAUUUCAGACAGAUUGCCAGUUCCUGAAAGCACAGCCUAGAUACAAAGUAGAGUGGAGAAGACAGGAGAAGUGCCAGCAGCUCAGCAGUUAAUAAGUAGAGGUGGGUGAGCAAAAAUAAGUAAACAUUAAUUCACUAAAAUAAAGGUCUCUGUGCUAUGGAA